GUAAAGGUGGCUGAGUUGAUAGGCGGUGGGUUGUAAUUCCAUUUAUGAGGUGUGUCCUUUCUUUACA
rnacentral:tRNA from 1 species